CCCCCCGCCGCGCGCGCACGCUUGACGUCAGCGGCUAGCGUGAGUCACGCGCGCAGGGAGAGCGCGAGGCGGCCUCUACCCAACCCUCUUCUCCUUCUCCCCCUCCCCCUCCUCUUCUGGCCGGGCCUAGACCGGUUCCAACCUGAUGGGGCCAGUCCCAACUGCCUCCAACUGCCACCAACCACCAGCCGGGCCAGAGGGCGGGAAAGUUGGGUGCAUUCCCCGCGGGGUUGGCUCGGGCGCGGGAUGCGGUGACACACAGCUUGAGCCUGGCCUGGCCCUCGAAGCCUACCUGCCCCCCAAGUCCUUCAGGCCCCACACAGUCCCUUCUUCCCCCCAUUCCUGGCUCUUAAGUGCCACACGACGCUCGGAGAUGCACUUAGGGAGCCUGACCCGUGUAAGUCAUUAGCACUUGUAUGCUCCUCAGGCCGGAGCACGUCUGCUAACUGCAUGCAAGCCCCGCGGGGGCCUCUCCCUUUGCAACUAGUAUGCACAUAAGCAAACAAACCCUCGUGGAGCACUUGCCCCGGCCCCUCCCCCCAGUCACGUUGACACAAGGUGGGCCCUCAGGUGGCACCCACGCCCACGUGAAGCACAUGCACAGCUCGCUCCCAGCAGGGGGCCCAAAACACUGCCUUCCCCUGGUUGCUAUCAGCCCCAGGAGCAUGAGCUGCUGAGACAUUGGUGGCCGGGCCGGGCCAGGCCAGGCCCUGCAGUUAGCUGUGGGGGGGAGGGGGGCUUGGGAAAGAAAGCUGAGGUUCUGGAAGCAUCUAGGAAGAUUUGUUUCAAGCAAAGGCUCCCCCUCCUGAAGUUGUGAUUGUCCCAAACCCAUAUGACCUCUUGGGCUUCUGAGUUUUUUGCCUGUGUAAGUGGAGUAUUCAAAGCUGGACUGUAGGCUUGUUGCAAAUUCUGAUGCCUUUGCAAGGGAGCCUUCAACAGCUGCACAGCAGGGGCAUGCAUGCUACAGACUAGGGCCAGAGAGUAAGCACCUUUUGGAACGGAAGGAAUCAAACUGUAGGCAGGAGCACCCCUUGGCUCACUCCCCAACUCCAGGGACGGGACCUGUUGGAAGGAAGUAUGUUUCAGGGACCCAGGGAAGCUGUUUGUCAGGCUCUGUGAUGGUUUCUUUGUUGGGAAAUUCUGUGCUUUGGUCUGAAGCUAUUGAUGCUGCUUUGAUUACAGGGCCAGACUUGUGUUAAAUUGGAGCCAUUGUGAGUAUGAGCCCUGCCACCUUUGUUUACCCUCUCUUUCCAACUGGAGGCCUGCUUUUGUUGAUACCUCCGAUUCUCUCCAGGGGCAGUGGUAGUGGCUUUACCUUUGAUGAAUUCCAGAAAAUAGUAUUCAAAUGAGUGAUAGCCAGCAAUCUUAAUAGAUUCUUUUGCCUUAGACACGUGCAGAAUCCAUACAAUUAGAACUUUUGAAAACCAUCUUUAGUUGCUUGGAUUUAGUUUUGCAAUGGAAUAUAUGGAACCCCAGAAAGUAUUUUGAGGGAUCACAGUCUUGUGUUUCUGUUAUAUUAAUAGCAAGACUAAUAAAAUCAUUAGAGCAGAGAGUUUGCUUUUGGAGUUAUCUACUGAAACAGAAGGAAUCAAAUAUUAUAAAUCACUGUAAAUGUAAAUAAGUGAAUGUUCUGAAUUGCUGCUGAUGACUGAUUGGAUCAGUUUGUCUUUUUGCUGCUUAUUUUAAAAGCCUGUGUGUCCAAAUCAGUAAUUGAAAGCAGAUGAUCAAUUGUCUUUGAAAACAGAGCAUCCUGUGCUUUAGUGGUAUGCCAUCAAAUCGCCAGAGAAGAUCUUUGGAAGUCAUGGCACCUUUCAAAAAGUCUGCCUUCAGUAAUCAGAGAUAUGAACUCGGCAGGGAUAAUAAUUUUCAAGAUCAGAUUUAGACUUCCAACCUUUAACCUUUCCUGUCCUGUGAAACUGGGCAUGGGAGAACAUCAUGCGUUGCGUGUACUUUUUGAGGGAGACGACAAAACUAAGAAUGUCGUGGUUUUGAUGCAGCAUUUACAUUUCAAACUGGAGACUGCUUUUACUUCGUUUCUCAUAUCAUGAUUUUUGAUUUGUUUCCAGUAUGAAAAAAAAUCCUUGUCUUUUCAGCCUGUUGUUUGGAUUUUCUUUGAUACUUUGCAUUAGUCCUAUCCCCAAGGCUUGCCCAUUCCAAUUUUUGGUUAUGGACCAAACUUUUGAAUUUUCUGGUUCAUUUAAAAAAGAAAUUCUGAUUGCAGUGAUACAGUCCUUGUUCAGUCUGGGAAAGGAGUGCUAUAAAAUUAGCUCUCAUCUAAGUGUAGGCUACCUCAAGGAACACUAGUGACAUAUCCCAUUUGUAUCUACAGAAGCAAAAUUGCCUUUUGGGAAGGGUAGGAAAGGGUUAGCUGCUAGGGUUUGAGCUAAGGCAUAAGCUUUUUUCAUAAACCUAGCUAAAAUGUUCAAUUACAACAAAAUAAUUGGUUUUCUCUGCAUUUAAUAAGCAUUCAUCCCUGUUUUAGAGGGAGUUUUUAAUGUAGCAUCUAAAAACAUCCCAAUAAAGUUUGGGCACAUAACUUAUGAAAAACUAUGUUAGAUACUAAAGAAGGCUUCCCCACAAUCCAUAUGCAUCUGCUUUGGCUGAUGGUUUCUAUCAACCUUCAAAAGACUGUGACUUAUUGGUGAGGGCAGCUGGACAACUCUCAGAACAACUUAGAGAAAUCCACCAUGGGCACACUCUAUAAAGGAGCUCCUUCUCUGGAAAGUAGCGCCCCAGAUAAGUGCACAAAAGCAAGACACCCUCGUGGACCUACUUCCUCCCGCUUUCAACACCCUGAUGCCUGAAGUUUAUAGAGUUUGACAGCAGUGUCAAGAACUGAUGAGAAGGAGAAGAUGGAAAGGAGUCUAGCAUCUUAAAAAUCUCAUAGCAUUCUCUGUAAUGUGACCCUUUUCAUUUAAUUAAGAGAUAAAGAAGAUACUGUGGCCUGGGAGAUCUGUCAUCAAGUCAGAUUUGAGUUUAUUGACAUGUUGCUUCCCCUUCCUCCUAUUCUUCUCCCUGUUCUUCAGCUUAUUUUGAAUCACUUUAUGAAAAUGAAAACCAGUUAAUAGUUUAUAUAUGGUCAGCAUAAAUUGUUAAACAUGACUCCUAAAGAAUGGGAGUCAGAAGGAAAAAGGACCAGGUUUAUGUCUUGCUUAUUGACAUAUAUCAGCAUGCUCUGGGAGAUGGUUAAGGAGGAUGAGUUUGAUAGAUUCUCCUUUGGUGUAAUUUUAUUGAUUUGAGGGGCUUACAAAGCUUUUCUCAAAGUAGCUAAAAACACACAUUUGCUUUAAUUGCUGCCAGAUGGUAACAAGUGCCAGGUGUGUGAUAGUUGUGACUUAACAACUUUAGUAUUUCAAGAUUGGUGUGAACCAGGUGCACAGAGAUGAUAUAAACAAGAUUAAAUAGUUACACUUUAUAAACAAAAGUAAAUUAUUUGGACGUCAAUAAUGCUUAGUAAUUAGUAUGUGAAAUGAAUAUUAAAUACUCAAUCAACUAUAUUAUAAUACUUAAAAUGUUUCUGCUUAUCCACAAGAGAUACUUUAAUGUCCUGUCCUAACCUGAACUCCAAUUGUCACUGAUGCUUGGGUACUACUCUUUGUCUUUCAAUGCUAUGUUGUAGCUGAGAGUUUAUAGCUUAAAUCACCCUAGGGUGAUUUUAUUUUAUUUUUAACCUAUAACCAGCCUCUAGCCCAAUUGUCCACACUUUAAUUUUUCUUUGAAAACCUUUAUACCUUAUUCCCUUGAAAUUUCUUUUUUUGAGCAGCUCCAGUCAGAAUAUUAUCUUUAUUGGAACUCAACAACAAAACAAUUCCCUUGCUUCAUUACUGAAUACCUUUAGAAAUGUAGUCCUUCAAAAAUGGGCAUAUUCAGAGUUGUGAUCCCCUUGCUUAUAUUGGACAUUUUUCUUUCAGGUCUUGUCAGAACUGCUCUGUAACUGCAACUUCCCUAAUAAUUCCCUUUCUCCUCAUACUAUCAACUUUGCUGAUUUAAAUUUGAGAAGCUGGGAGUAGAUUUUAAAUUGAUGUAUUUCUUGGGCCAGACACGUCUUUUCCUUCAACAGACAAUAUAAAGUAUAUGUAACAAUAUAUCUGAUUAACCAAAUAUAAUAAAAUAGAUACAAAGUUGGAUUUUGUCACACCUUGUAUGAGCUGAAAUAGACAGUGCUGGCAAGCCAGCUAUCCCUCAGUGACUUGGGGGGGUGGGGGGUCUCUCAUCAGUUGAAUCAAGUUGCUAAUGGUUUGUAAAUUUAAGAACAAAUAGAUUCAUUCGCACACACUUGAUACGAUGAAUGUGGUAACAAUCUUUUGGAAAUGAGGGGCUGAUAAAAGCGGGCUUAGUUUUAGAAACUGCCAGCUUGUGUACCUUUUUUUUCCACUACUGCUUCUAGUCUUAGGACCAAAGCAGUCCAUCUGCCUGUUUCACUUAUUAUAGUGAUGGAGUGGCCAUGCUGUUAAUGUCCAAGAUGGUUUUGUGCUUCUAAGAAAGUUUUCUCUGGUCCUAAGCCCUCAUUAUAUUGCCUCUUCAACUCUCAUGCUCAGAGGAUGCCAUCAAGAUCAUCUACACUGAUAAGUUCUUUUAAAAUACUCAGUGUACUGAGUAAUCUUGAGUCCAUCACAGUUUCCUGAUCAGCUCAGUAGAACUCUGGACUCCAGUCUGGCCUCUAUUGUUAAUUAGUUGUGCGAUUUGCGUCGAGUCAUUUUACUUCCUGGAAUUUAAAAAUUGGACUAGAUGAUUCUUAAGAUUCUUUUCAGUUCUAAUGUUAGAUUUAUUGUUCCAAAUCUCUGCAACCUGUUAUUAGGUAUCAAAUUGGAAUGGCCUACACAAAUAAUGUCUCUACUCUUAAGUCAGAAAUCCUUUCCUUGGAACACUUAACUAUUGCCACAAUUGAUUUGAUGAGCUAAGAAUUGGUUAUUGGCUUAUUUUAGUGGGCUUGUGGGCUUCUGUGUUAGACUUGUGAAUCUCCCGAAGUCAAUCCUAGUUGAGGUUCCUAGCUUAU